rnacentral:lncRNA from 10 species
CAGAAAUACCCUUCAAUAUGAAGAAGUGAAAAUGAAACCAUAAGUCCAUGGACACAUGGGAGACAGACGAAUUUCUGUCAUCCUUGAAUUUGGAGUUGUCCAUGAAGUUCUUCUACUGUCCAGAAAGAGGGCGCACACUUCCUUAGUUCCCAUCAGCGUGGUGGGAAAGAUUCCUACAGAGGCUGAAGAAAUAACAUUCUGGUGCUUUUUAAUGCUUAUCAAUGCAGAUCUUUCACCUGGGGAGCAAUCUGUUGUUCCCACUACAAUAAAAAAUAUGGAGUUUCUUUGAUAAAAAAUCUUAAUUUGUCUCUCCUUCUCCUUCUUCUUCCUCUUCCUUGCUGGAAGACAUGCAUGUCUGGC